rnacentral:snoRNA from 1 species
AAAAAAAUUGAACAUUUCUUUAUUGCUAAAUCAAAUAUAGACCGUAGAGUGAGAGAUAUAAAUUCACACCUAUCAUUACUCGUUUCUGAAAGUGGCAGUGGAAUACCAAUUGCCAAACUCUCGUCUCUGUACCUGGCAGCCUCUGACUACCGUCCAACAAACCUUUUCUCGACAGUCCGGAAGAUAAAGUAGGUAAAGGCAGUAAAGACAGUGUUCAGGAUAAGACCUACAUCACCUGCUGGAUUGCCAAACAUGGCAGCAAUGGGCCCGAUAUACCAGGUUGUGUUCAUUCCGGGGACGGCACCAGUACCGUAGGACACGGCCAUUGCUCCCACGGCUGCCACACCCCAUGGAAGCCCGUUUUUGUUAUCCCACGCCUGCAAGUCGUACCCA